GAAUAUCGCUGGAAAAGCAGUGAAAUACUUGAUAGAAUUCAAUGUACUCCAAAAUUUAUCUGAUGAAUUAUCCGCAGAGCUUCUUUCAAUCAAACAUUGACGAAAUCGGAUAGCGUAUGGAUACGCUGCAAUCAUUGACAUAAUAACCUCAUUUUCAUAUUGUUUUCUAUGAGAGUUAUUAGGUGAGUCAGUUACGUAAAUCAAGAUUGCUCCAGCUAGCCAGAGAUCAGCAAUGACCCUCGAGUAAGAAGUCAAUAAAUCAGAAAAUAUAACAUCGGGAAAUUUGUAAUCAGGUCUGUAGCUUCCUCCCAAAAUCCUUAGACACUGUCGAGUAAACACCUUUCUCUGGAAGAACCAGAACUUAUGUACAGGCAUAAAAACAAUAACACCAAAAAUAAAAACGGGGACGUAUGCCAAUUCAUCAGACCCAGAAAUCAAAUAUAAGGAUUCGGCUAUUACGAAAAGUAGAGUACCUAAUAUAGAUAGGGAGAAUGACAAUUGCCAUAGAGGAGCAUUAGCUUGCUGUGAUCGAUUGACAGGCAACGGAGUAUGUAAUAAUGAGAACACGUCGACC